rnacentral:lncRNA from 1 species
AUAGGUCUUGCUGUCCAGGGUGCUGCGUCACCUCAUUUUGGGCUGAUGGCCCAUGUAUCAAGUUGGGUCCAUUAGGGACGCGUCCUAGGGUUGGAGGACGACCCCAACACCUCUUUGGUCGUCAAUCCAUCUACUUAUAUCCCUCUAGAGCCGCCAUGGUCGUUGGGUUUUGUUUAGAUCAAGUUUAGCCUUCGCUACUUGCUUGUAGGCGCGCGUGCAGGAUCAGCCGCCCGUCUCCUUGUCUUCAGAACCCCAUUGUUGAUUCAGAUUCAGUUUGAAACCUUCAAUUCAUCUUGCAAAUUUAGUGCUUGUUUCCUCGUUCUUGCUAGUUCUUCGAUUGCUUGCAGGACGGGAGCCCUAGGGGCUGGUUGUCGCGCUCCACAAGAUCGUGACGGCUGUUGGACGUGGUGUAUCGGUUGCUAAGGCGCGGUCUUGAGGGCUGUAGUCGAGCCGUGAACGUCAUCUCCAUCCACCAAUCGAGUUAUCCCCAUCUCUCAUCAAAAGAUCAGGCAAAAACCCUAGCGGGUUCGCAUCAGUUGGUAAUCAGAGCAAGGUUCUUCGGUGAGAGACUUCUAAUCCUUUGCUGUUUUUAAUUAAUUUCCUAUAGUCCAGAAAAGCCAAAAAAAAUAUAGUAGAUUAGUUUUUCCAUAAUCCUAUUAAACCUUUGUGCCUUGGCUAGUACCGUUUUAGUUAGGGCUUGUUGAAUUUGCGUUGCUACGGUUUGUGUCGAGUUGCUGGUCUUAGUGUCUAGUCCUUUAGAGUUUCGAGUUCUUGUCACCAUCUAUACACAGCCGAGUAUUACCAUAUCUUCUCUCUGUCGAAUCUAUUGCGAAGUCCGAAUUGAACUGUGGUCUUGGUCCGGAUCGAGUAGAGUUCCAAUCUGAGUUCCACCAACGUAAUAAAAAAGAAGGAUAACUCCAUACUUGUUCGGCCUUACUCUAGAGAGAGAGAGAGAAAAAAGUGUGUGUAGCGAAUUGCUCUUUUAUAUUCUUUUGUUCAUAUAAUCAGUUUUUGAGGUUGCCCAAAAAAAAGAAAAAAAAAGAAAAAAAAGAGAAAAGAUUCAAAAAAAAGAAGGGGCUGUUUUUCAUAUUGAUUUUAGGUUUCUUCCACCUUGUUUUCAGGGGUGUGCUGUGGUUUUCCUUUGUGUCCAGGCUUGCGUCUCUAGCACGGUCUAGCCUAGGACCAGCACAGUACCAUCGUCGAACGCUUAUUCAGCUCGCUUUUAUAACUAACGUGGUGCUAGUUCGUUCCUUGUUUCAGCCCACCUAUAGCUCCACAUACUCUACAGCUUGACAGGUCUUGUGCUGCAGCACCGAUACACUUCGUCCAUUGCUGUACACUUGUUGGC